GAAACAAGGAACGGGAAAGAGUUCUUAUUUAUAAGGAACGGGAACGUUCGUAAGUAUUAGUUAAUUUUUUUUAAAUUGGUCACACGCUAUAAUACACAUUUGCAUAAGUUCACUAAUGAAUAACGACAAAUAAUUAUAAGUACAUUCAAAUUAAGAAUACAUAUAUAUAUAUAUAUAAAAGUAGUUUGGAUUUUACAUUAAGUAUAAAUAAAAACAAUAAAGAUAGAAACGCUUAAAAAAAUGAGUUUCUUUAUUGCAGUAGGAUGAGAAACGAGAAUGAAUUACUUUUUAAAAGCGACUUUCUCAACAUAGGAAACUGCAGGUUUUAAUCACAUCAUAAACACGUCAUAUUAAUAGUCAUAUGCAACUAUUCGUAGAUAGGAUCGUCAUCGGAUCUAUGAUCCGACGGCGAUCCAACUGCAGAAACCGUUCGUUGAAAUUUCAUUAAUCACCUGCUAUGACGAAUAAGGUCGUAUCUCAAUUCAGAUCACAUAUUAUAUUCAAUGUCGUAUCAUUUUCAGCAUCGCUCACGGAAAUGGUCGUAUCUCUACUCGCCCCAAGACAUCAGAUUAGACGUUGGAAAAAGUGAAAUAUCACACUUUUAGUUGCGUCGAACGAUAUGAUAAGUGUUUAAGAGAUCAGCGAUCAAAAAUGGGAAAAGUGAGAUGCGGCAAGCGAAUUUAUAUUAUAUUCGUGACGAAAACCGGUGAAAGGUGUUACGAGUAAAUGCGAGUUUCUCCCCCGUAAAUAUAAUGUAUAUUUAACAG